AUGAAAUUUUAUGUUGAAAAAUGCAAUGUUAUGCAUUUCAGCGUAAAGAAUAUACAAGCAGCGUAUACCCUUAAUGGAAGCGAAUUAGGGAUAACAACACACAAAAAGGACUUGGGAAUUGUUAUAGACAACAAACUAUGCAACAAUGGGCAAUGUCAAUCAGCAGUGGCUAAGGCCAGUAAGGUUUUGUCAUGCAUGAAAAAAGGACUUUCAUUCUCGGGAUGAGAAUAUCAUUUUGCCUCUUUAUAAAUCACUGGUAAGACCACAUAUUGGAUAUGCUGUGCAAUUUUGGGCACCUGUUCUAAAGAAGGAUAUUAUGGCACUAGAAAAAAGUGCAGAGGAGAGCUACAAAAUUAAUAAAAGGAAUGGAACAUAUUAGAAAAACGUCGCCUGAGAGGGGAUAUGAUAACAUUAUACAAAUAUAUUCGGGGCCAAUACAAACCAUUGUGUGGAAAUCUAUUCACAAACCGGACUUUAC